rnacentral:misc_RNA from 1 species
AAUUCUCAACUCUCCUAUACUUUGUUGUAAAGGAGAGCUUGGAUUGUGGAGGCUUGCUGGCCACUUACUGGGGUCAGCUCCUCUGAAAUGCAUUAGCAGAACUGUUUGCGAUCUGCCACAAGUGUGAUAAAUUAUCUACACUAGCGAGGGGAUUGCUCUCUGUGUUCAGCUUCUAAUCGUCUUCAGUGACAAUUUUCUGAAU